rnacentral:tRNA from 1 species
GCGGGAGUAGCUCAGUUGGUAGAGCGUAACGUUGCCAACGUUAAGGUCGCGAGUUCGAGACUCGUCUCCCGCUCCA